rnacentral:rRNA from 1 species
GACGAACGCUGGCGGCGUGCCUAAUACAUGCAAGUCGAACGAACUCUGGUAUUGAUUGGUGCUUGCAUCAUGAUUUACAUUUGAGUGAGUGGCGAACUGGUGAGUAACACGUGGGAAACCUGCCCAGAAGCGGGGGAUAACACCUGGAAACAGAUGCUAAUACCGCAUAACAACUUGGACCGCAUGGUCCGAGCUUGAAAGAUGGCUUCGGCUAUCACUUUUGGAUGGUCCCGCGGCGUAUUAGCUAGAUGGUGGGGUAACGGCUCACCAUGGCAAUGAUACGUAGCCGACCUGAGAGGGUAAUCGGCCACAUUGGGACUGAGACACGGCCCAAACUCCUACGGGAGGCAGCAGUAGGGAAUCUUCCACAAUGGACGAAAGUCUGAUGGAGCAACGCCGCGUGAGUGAAGAAGGGUUUCGGCUCGUAAAACUCUGUUGUUAAAGAAGAACAUAUCUGAGAGUAACUGUUCAGGUAUUGACGGUAUUUAACCAGAAAGCCACGGCCAACUACGUGCCAGCAGCCGCGGUAAUACGUAGGUGGCAAGCGUUGUCCGGAUUUAUUGGGCGUAAAGCGAGCGCAGGCGGUUUUUUAAGUCUGAUGUGAAAGCCUUCGGCUCAACCGAAGAAGUGCAUCGGAAACUGGGAAACUUGAGUGCAGAAGAGGACAGUGGAACUCCAUGUGUAGCGGUGAAAUGCGUAGAUAUAUGGAAGAACACCAGUGGCGAAGGCGGCUGUCUGGUCUGUAACUGACGCUGAGGCUCGAAAGUAUGGGUAGCAAACAGGAUUAGAUACCCUGGUAGUCCAUACCGUAAACGAUGAAUGCUAAGUGUUGGAGGGUUUCCGCCCUUCAGUGCUGCAGCUAACGCAUUAAGCAUUCCGCCUGGGGAGUACGGCCGCAAGGCUGAAACUCAAAGGAAUUGACGGGGGCCCGCACAAGCGGUGGAGCAUGUGGUUUAAUUCGAAGCUACGCGAAGAACCUUACCAGGUCUUGGCAUACUAUGCAAAUCUAAGAGAUUAGACGUUCCCUUCGGGGACAUGGAUACAGGUGGUGCAUGGUUGUCGUCAGCUCGUGUCGUGAGAUGUUGGGUUAAGUCCCGCAACGAGCGCAACCCUUAUUAUCAGUUGCCAGCAUUAAGUUGGGCACUCUGGUGAGACUGCCGGUGACAAACCGGAGGAAGGUGGGGAUGACGUCAAAUCAUCAUGCCCCUUAUGACCUGGGCUACACACGUGCUACAAUGGAUGGUACAACGAGUUGCGAACUCGCGAGAGUAAGCUAAUCUCUUAAAGCCAUUCUCAGUUCGGAUUGUAGGCUGCAACUCGCCUACAUGAAGUCGGAAUCGCUAGUAAUCGCGGAUCAGCAUGCCGCGGUGAAUACGUUCCCGGGCCUUGUACACACCGCCCGUCACACCAUGAGAGUUUGUAACACCCAAAGUCGGUGGAGUAACCUUUUAGGAACCAGCCGCCUAAGGUGGGACAGAUGAUUAGGGUG